GAAACUAAUGUACAAUGCUGAUGAACUUCUCUGGGCAACCAGAUUUUGACAUAAUAUUCCAUAAGCCCAAGAGCUCUAAGCAGCCUUUCAUCUGAAAGAAGGUUUCCAUCAUCUCAUCCAAGUGGAAUGACCACAGCUUCCAUCCUGGCCUUUGCAUCAACAGCUAAGAAACAGCCAAAAGGAAAAAGAAGACAUCUGCGGCAGGCAGGCAGAGGUAGCUUUGAAGUCUCUAAUUCUGUUCCUUGCCACAGUCACAGAAGACAGAAAGAGGCAUUGACAUCCAGCAACCAUUCCAGCUAUGGUUCCUUUCUGAAUUGCUCUACAGUCAGCCAGGGGAGUCACAUGGCUUCUCUGAGAUCAUUUAAGAAUAAAUUCUGCAUUGCUCCA